CGCGAAGAACCUUACCAGGUCUUGACAUCCCUCUGAAGUAGCCUUAGCCGGCUAUGUCCUUCGGGACAGGGGAGACAGGUGGUGCAUGGUUGUCGUCAGCUCGUGUCGUGAGAUGUUGGGUUAAGUCCCGCAACGAGCGCAACCCUUGUGUUUAGUUGCCAACAGGUAAGGCUGUGCACUCUAAACAGACUGCCGUGGAUAACACGGAGGAAGGUGGGGAUGACGUCAAAUCAUCAUGCCCCUUAUGAUCUGGGCUACACACGUGCUACAAUGGUCGGUACAACGGGCAGCGAAAGGGUAAUCUGGAGCGAAUCCUAAAAAGCCGAUCCCAGUUCGGAUUGUGGGCUGAAACUCGCCCACAUGAAGUUGGAGUUGCUAGUAAUCGCGAAUCAGAAUGUCGCGGUGAAUGCGUUCCCGGGCCUUGUACACACCG
rnacentral:rRNA from 1 species